UACGGGGGGAGCAAGCGUUGUUCGGAUUUACUGGGCGUAAAGGGCGCGUAGGCGGUCAGUGCAAGUCAGUUGUGAAAUCUCCGAGCUUAACUCGGAACGGUCAACUGAUACUGCUCGGCUAGAGUGCGGAAGGGGCAACUGGAAUUCUUGGUGUAGCGGUGAAAUGCGUAGAUAUCAAAGAGGGAACACCUGGCGGCGAAGGCGGGUUGCUGGGCCGACACGAUGACGCUGGAGGCGACGAAAGCUAGGGGAGCGAACGGG
rnacentral:rRNA from 1 species